rnacentral:rRNA from 1 species
UACGUAGGUGGCAAGCGUUGUCCGGAUUUAUUGGGUUUAAAGGGUGCGUAGGCGGUCUUAUAAGUCAGUGCUGAAAUAUCCCGGCUUAACCGGGAGGGUGGCAUUGAUACUGUAGGACUUGAGUAAAGUUGAGGUUGGCGGAAUUGACGGUGUAGCGGUGAAAUGCUUAGAUAUGACAUAGAACACCAAUUGCGAAGGCAGCUGGCUACGCAUAUAUUGACACUGAGGCACGAAAGCGUGGGGAUCAAACAGG